AAUGAACGUUGGCGGCGUGGAUUAGGCAUGCAAGUCGUGCGGAAAGGCUCCUUCGGGAGUACUCGAGCGGCGCAAGGGAGAGUAACGCGUGGAUAUCUACCCCCUGGACUGGGGUAGCGGCGGGAAACUGCCGGUAAUACCAGAUAAUGUCUGCGGACCACAGGUGUAGGUCCGGAGGGGGAGUAGUGCGCGUCCUAUUAGCUAGUUGGUAGGGUAAUGGCCUACCAAGGCAAAGAUGGGUACCGGGUGUGAGAGCAUGGCCCGGCUCACUGGGACUGAGACACUGCCCAGCCACCUACGGGUGGCUGCAGUCGAGAAUCUUCGGCAAUGGGCGCAAGCCUGACCGAGCGACGCCGCGUGCGGGAUGAAGGCCUUCGGGUUGUAAACCGCUGUCAGAGGGGAGGAAAUGCGUGAGAGUUCUCUCUCACGUUUGACCUAUCCUCAGAGGAAGUACGGGCUAAGUUCGUGCCAGCAGCCGCGGUAAAAC
rnacentral:rRNA from 1 species